rnacentral:rRNA from 1 species
GAUGAACGCUGGCGGCGUGCCUAAUACAUGCAAGUCGAGCGAACAGACGAGGAGCUUGCUCCUCUGACGUUAGCGGCGGACGGGUGAGUAACACGUGGAUAACCUACCUAUAAGACUGGGAUAACUUCGGGAAACCGGAGCUAAUACCGGAUAACAUGUUGAACCGCAUGGUUCAACAGUGAAAGACGGUUUUGCUGUCACUUAUAGAUGGAUCCGCGCCGCAUUAGCUAGUUGGUAAGGUAACGGCUUACCAAGGCAACGAUGCGUAGCCGACCUGAGAGGGUGAUCGGCCACACUGGAACUGAGACACGGUCCAGACUCCUACGGGAGGCAGCAGUAGGGAAUCUUCCGCAAUGGGCGAAAGCCUGACGGAGCAACGCCGCGUGAGUGAAGAAGGUCUUCGGAUCGUAAAACUCUGUUAUUAGGGAAGAACAAAUGUGUAAGUAACUAUGCAUGUCUUGACGGUACCUAAUCAGAAAGCCACGGCUAACUACGUG